UACAGAGGCCUCGAGCGUUAGGCGGAAUCACUGGGCUUAAAGCGUGUGUAGGUGGAUGCCUAAGUACCUUGUGAAAUCCCACGGCUUAACCGUGGAACUGCUUGGUAUACUGGCGGUCUUGAGCCAGCUAGGGGCUACCGGAACAAAUGGUGGAGCGGUGAAAUGCGUAGAUAUCAUUUGGAACGCCAAUGGUGAAAACAGGUAGCUGGGGCUGUGCUGACGCUGAGACACGAAAGCCAGGGGAGCAAACGGG
rnacentral:rRNA from 1 species